GCGAGCUGUUUCCUGUCAGGUUUGGUGACAUACUUUUGUAUUUCGAAUCGUUUCUCAAGCCCUUUUCGCUGCAGGUUGGAAAACACCGCUCGUGACCAGGAUCGCUUCCUUUUGUACGUCUGUGGCAUCGUGUCUUUGACCUAACUGAAGCUUGUGCUGGCAAGAUAAAAUUAAAUACAGAAAAUCGGAUCUACUUGGAGACACGGAAGGCGCUGGCCCACCUGGAAAGGUAUCCUGUAACUGAUGCUGUCCUGAUUGCCUGGCCGCGCUGCCUAACGAGCUCAUCAUGGUGGGCGCGUCGCUCAUCCUGGGUUCUAAGGGCGUAAAGUACUGGCUUGUAGAAGGCGGCAUAGAGAGAUGCAUCCCUGACUGACGGUUCGUGCUAACAAUUGAAGUGAGAUCUGUUACAGGACGAAAAGAAAAGGACGAAGAGGUUAAAAAAGCGGCCCUAUAAGCGGGAUUUGGGAGUGCUGCCGUUUAGUGUUUCUCACCUUAAAAGUAAUAAGGAUGUAAAAAAAAAAACGAGCGGCAGAAGUAGAAAUAAACUGUAUAAUUGUUCUGGGGGGAGAGAUGCCAAAAUGUCAUUGAGUGUGUCCCGCCUAUUGAAACUAAAAAACUUCAGUUAUACAGCUGCCAGAACUUAACAUGACAUAAAUACUAUUCUGUUUAGCGUUUUGUUUAAGUUAAUUUUAGAGCUGACGCAGCAUAAACGCAAUAUGAAAAAAUAUAUUGAGUGUCUCUCAUUCAGGCAUAUAAAUGAAAAAUCUGACCAAGAUUUGUAUCUGUGUGAAUCCGUCUCCUACCUCUUAAACUUGAAGUCUCUUUGGCUUUUGGGUCAAAGUCUGUAGAUAAAAUGCGAUCAAUCCCAAACUUUAGGUCUUUGCUUGACGGUGCAGGGGCUUGGGGAGAGUUCAGAGUGACUCGCGAAACAGAAGUUAAAUGUAAUCCGUGCCUGUGAUACGGGGACGCAGAGCUCACCCUGGAGCUGAAAACAGACGGCUCCUGGGUAACCGGGGAAGGGCGCAGGGGAGAUCCAGAAGCGUGAACCGGAGCACGGGGACCCAUAUGAGCCAUUAUAGCGGAAGAUCCAGAGAUAUUUUCAGCGUCUCCGACGUGUAAUAUGUCAGCGAUGCAAAAAGACGGCUUCUUCAUCGAAUCCAAUGAAAAACCACUGGAGCAAUACGCAGACCAAAGACUAAAAUUAGAAGCAUAAAACGGAUUCAGUCCGGUAGUAUACAUUCUACUAAUAUGUGUUACCCCGCGGUUAAACACAAACGGUGAUAACAGAGAAAUCCUGCAUGGAAACGCAGAUAUUGUCGAAAACGGUAGAUUUCUUUUUUAAAGGGCCUGGGAUCUUUCUCUCAAGUAUGGAACGUAAGCAGCUGGUCCAAGUAGUCCUCAGCAGAAGUUUCUGCUCUUUAAAUGAUUGGUUAGCCUCUGGCCAAUGGAGGUGCAGCUUAAGCAAGACGACACGCCCCCAAGAAGUAGGGUACUUGAGAGUUGAACUUUACCGGUGAAAUCCUUCGUUGGCCGAAUGAAUAAAUACAGCACUAAAAUUAUGAUUAUUAAUACUAUUAUUUAUUAUUGUAGUUAACAACUACCAGGAAUGCUAUAUUAUAAAAAAACAAUUAUAUAACUAAAUACCAAACUAUGGACUACACGUUUAGUGUCGAAAAUUUGGAAGAAUAAAUGACACGUAUUUUUGCGAGCGACUUACGUUGUCCGAAACACCAUAUAUUUACAUUUUGGCUAACACAAAUUAAUUUAACAAACAAUGAGUUUAUUGCGUGUUUUUAGCCUAGUAUUAUACAAAUACAAAGUUUAACGGGUUAAUAAAUUUUGCCCAGUUAUGAAGCACAGAUUAAUUAUUUUUACGUGUAUCUUUGUAGAUGAUAUUUCAGUAAUAUACUAAUUUAAAAAAUGUGUUUUCAGUCGUCAGAGAGAAUCCGAAAGCAAUAAGUCUUUUAGAAAAUAUAAAUAUUACUGGGGAAUUAUUGUUCAGCUUUUGAACAUAAAUACGGCGAAUAACCAAUGUCAUUGUUUGUAUUAUUAUGAAGUGGUUUUCUCUGAACAUGUCCCGUGGUUCGCCCUGAAAUUCCGUUUCAUUCCGAGGUUGACCGCUGAGUACAGGAAACUCCAGCUCUAAUAGAUGCAGGUCAUCCUGUUUUUAAUGGGCUCUGAUUCUAACUAAAUGAGCGGAUAUUCCUGCUAGAUUUGUCCAAAAAUAGAGCAUGUUUUAGUAUUUUAGGAUACGAACGAAAUCCGUAUUUCUUCCUGAGUGUAACAAAAAAAACUUUAUAAUGACGGUUAGAACUUCCUUUUUCAAUAUUUGUGCAACUUUAUCUCAACCCGCAAGUUGCGCUGUGACGCAAAUCCGCCCUCAUGCUUAUAAUAAAGAGGAAAUCAAUUUCAUAAAAAAGAAAACAAAAAUAACCACAAAAGCUUUACUUCACACAUAUCUAAAGCAUGUAAUACGUCAAUAAAUAAACAUGAAAAUAAAUUUUAUGAAGAAUAUUUCAUUUUUUUCAUCGGUGGGUCAUCUUUAAAAAAACAAUAAUAAAAGUAAUAGAAAUAAGUAAAAAUCGGUAGCAUGUUUAUUCAUUAUACAUUUAUUUAUAAAUGAAUUCAUUUAUUGGUGGAUUAAUUGUAGCAUAACAGUUGUCAUAAUCACAGUUGUUGCGUGAAGCGUUAUGUCAUAAACGUGUCUUAUAUGUCUUGCACCUUCUUUUGUUUAUGUUUUGUUCUGUUUUGUUUCUCUUCUACCAAACAAACAAUUUCAUGUCAGUAAAAUGUCUAGAAUAUUGAAGUAGAAGAAUUUUAUUUAGAUAGGCCUACAUUUUUGUUUAGUUUCGAAAUUUAAAGUUACGGUAUUCAUUUAUGUAAAUAUGUUUUGUUAUAUUUUUAGUUAAAGGAUUAUAAAAUUAUUUUUAUUAGGCUAUUAUGAUCCGAAAAAGAAAACAUAUUGGUGACUGAUAAGGCUUUUAACCUCAGCCGUCUUAAACCGUUAUUCCCCAUCCCGUUUUAGUAAUCGCCUCUGUUUAUUGCCUUCAUUAGCGCUGAUUUAUUUCCUAAGUGUCCUGCGACUCUGGCGGCUUCCUACCGCAGUGUGUCUCAGAAACAUUUUUUCCGGGUUAAAUUUAGCAAUGAAAUGUACCGUUUGCCCUCCAUCAAGCAGACGAAACAAUUUAGGGAAAAGGAUGUAGAGGAACACAGCAUGCGUACACGCUUCGGUUAUUUCAGGUGCCGAUGAGCUCAAUGCAGGGAAUUUUUAAACGAUCCCGUUUGGCUGCCGAAAGCCGCCCAAGUGUGUUUACCUGGGGAUUGUUUAUUAGCAGUGAGCACGCAGGAAGGAGUGCAUGUAAAAUUAUUUAUUUUUAAUGUUAUUAUUUAUUUGUUCUGUAAAUAAGACUUAUUCUUCUGGGCAAUUAUUGACAAUGUGAGAUGCUUUUAUAUUUUUAUUUAUCGGAAUUAAAAGAUUAAUUUAUGGGAAUUACAUUUAAAUAAAACAUUUUUCAUUUAUUCUACAUGUUUAUAUGAUGUUAAAUAUAAGCUGUAUUCGGUUAUGUUGAUGUCUGUUUAAAAUAUGCAUUCGAAUAUAAAAUCUGAAAUUCA